UAAGGAAUAUUGGUCAAUGGACGCAAGUCUGAACCAGCCAUGCCGCGUGGAGGAUUAAGGCCCUCUGGGUUGUAAACUCCUUUUAUCUGGGAAGAAAUGUACUUUUUCUUGAGUACUUGACGGUACCAGAGGAAUAAGCACCGGCUAACUCCGUGCCAGCAGCCGCGGUAAUACGGAGGGUGCAAGCGUUAUCCGGAUUCACUGGGUGUAAAGGGUGCGUAGGUGGGCAGGUAAGUCAGUGGUGAAAUCUCCGGGCUUAACCCUGAAACUGCCGUUGUUACUAUUUGUCUUGAAUAUUGUGGAGGUAAGCGGAAUAUGUCAUGUAGCGGUGAAAUGCUUAGCUAUGACAUAGAACACCAAUUGCGAAGGCAGCUUACUACACAAUCAUUGACGCUGAGGCACGAAAGCGUGGGGAU
rnacentral:rRNA from 1 species